AGGAUAUCGAUUCACUUCCUCCCCUUGCCUUCUCUCUCUUACUUUCCCCAAUUUUGGCCAUUGACGACGACUUCCCAAAGCUUCGACUCCAGCCGCUCCAGCCUGUGAUUCCUGUUCCGUCGUUCGUCCUCACCGCCAGACACCGGUGCCCUCCUCCCGUCGGGACGGCCUCGACGACUCCGCGCGCGGAGGCUUUCCCUGGUCGCCUAGGCCGACUCUGGUCGUCCCCGUGCAGGCUCUGCUCGGCGAGAUCUGCUCCUCGAGCUCAUCCCGUAGGUCCGCCGCCCCUGGGCGACCUCCCACAUCGGCCCUGCACAGGCUUUGCUCGGGGAGAGGUUCUUCUCGAGCUCAUCCCAGAUGUACGCCGCCCCUUGAUGCUGGCCGUCCAGCAGCGUCCGUACAUGGAAGUUCAGAUCUCAAAAGAGUGCUCGACGCCGCCCACCCUGAUAGCGGCCAUGUCGGGGCUGGAGGUCAAGCGUGAGGACGAUGAUUCGGCGGAGCAGGGACGAAGUGAUAAUUUGGAGAGUGGUUUGACACAGCCUUUGCUCAUAGAGACAAAGGAGUGGCAAGUUGACAAUGCAGAGGAUAAUGAUGGUUGCUAGUCCAUACAGAUUCCUCAUGCCACAUGUGAAGGUCGACAAAGGAACUGAUGGCUUGUAUUUCAGUGAUCUACUGUUGGCUUACCAUUUGUUUUUAUAGAGGU